rnacentral:rRNA from 1 species
AGAAUUAGUUUAAGGUAUAGCCUGCUCUAUGAAUAUUUUUAAAUGGCCGCGGUAUUUUGACCGUGCGAAGGUAGCAUAAUCAUUAGUCUUUUGAUUGGAGGCUGGUAUGAAUGGCUGGACGAGAAAAUUUCUGUCUCUGUUAUAAAAUUUGAAUUUUAUUUUUAAGUGAAAAAGCUUAAAUUUUUUUGAGGGACGAUAAGACCCUUUGGAUCUUUAUAAUAAUGAGUAAUAAAAAGGUUGGGUGUGACAGCUUAUUACUUUAAAUUAUUGGGUUGGGGCGACCGGAAGAAAAAAAUAUCUCUUCUUAAAUAAUAUAUUUAUCAAUAGGCUUAGGAUGACCCUAAAUUUUGGUUUAAAAGACUAAGUUACCCUAGGGAUAACAGCGUAAUCUUUUUGGAGAGUUCAUAUCGAUGAAAAGGUUUGCGACCUCGAUGUUGGAUUAAGAUAUCCUUAUGGCGUAGCCGUUAUAAAGGAGAGUCUGUUCGACUCUUAAAUUCUUACG